UGCUUCACCGCCUUGCGUUCAUCAACUACGGUCAGACUUUGUUGCCUGUCGGGACAGGCACUGAACGCGCAAAGUUGUCGGCAACUGCGAAGUUCAUGGAUCAGACUCUAGGUGAGCCCGACAUUGCAAACCCAACACUCAAAUACUCUUCUUCUCGAACUCACUCUCAGGUUCAAAGAUUGGUGAUGAUUUUUCACUAUGGCUCUUGAGACGCGAAGUGGUGGUGCUGAUUUGAAGUUCGCGAUUUUGGAUUUAGGGUUUAUUUGCAGGUUUGAUUUGCGACUAAAGCUAACAACUUCAACAGGAAAAUCUUGCGGGCCAAAAAGGUUUCUCCUUUCUCUCUCUUUCUCCCCUUCAUAUUGUUAAACUAGUGUCUGUAUUGUCUUGUGUUGCAGAGAACCUGGAGCUGACCAAAAGUUUAAAGAAAUCAACAACGCAUAUGAGGUGUUAUCAGAUGAUGAGAAACGAUCCAUAUAUGACAGAUUUGGAGAGGCUGGACUUAAACGUUCUGGAAUGGGGACGGGGUAAGUUACCUUUGAUGAUGUAUGAUUUAAUUUUUUAUUCUCGUUUCUCAACGAAGGAUUUCUCUGUUAUGCCAAGAUUUCAGCAAUCUAUUUGAUCUGUUCGAAUCAUUGUUUGAAGGCAUGAAUCGCAGUGCAGGCUCCAGAGGUUCUUGUAACGAUGCAAUUGAUGGUGUCGUGGGCAAAACCUGUUUGCUUAUUUCCUACACCAGCAA